rnacentral:rRNA from 1 species
UNUGCUGUGAAAGGCUGGGGCUUAACCCUGGUUUUGCAGUGGGUACGGGCUAACUAGAGUGCAGUAGGGGAGACUGGAAUUCCUGGUGUAGCGGUGGAAUGCGCAGAUAUCAGGAGGAACACCGAUGGCGAGGGCAGGUCUCUGGGCUGUAACUGACGCUGAGAAGCGAAAGCAUGGGGAGCGAACAGGAUUAGAUACCCUGGUAGUCCAUGCCGUAAACGUUGGGCACUAGGUGUGGGGGACAUUCCACGUUUUCCGCGCCGUAGCUAACGCAUUAAGUGCCCCGCCUGGGGAGUACGGCCGCAAGGCUAAAACUCAAAGAAAUUGACGGGGGCCCGCACAAGCGGCGGAGCAUGCGGAUUAAUUCGAUGCAACGCGAAGAACCUUACCAAGGCUUGACAUAUACUGGACUGCGUCAGAGAUGGCGUUUCCCUUCGGGGCUGGUAUACAGGUGGUGCAAGGUUGUCGUCAGCUCGUGUCGUGAGAUGUUGGGUUAAGUCCCGCAACGAGCGCAACCCUCGUUCUAUGUUGCCAGCACGUGAUGGUGGGGACUCAUAGGAGACUGCCGGGGUUAACUCGGAGGAAGGUGGGGAUGACGUCAAAUCAUCAUGCCCCUUAUGUCUUGGGCUUCACGCAUGCUACAAUGGCCGGUACAGAGGGUUGCGAUACUGUGAGGUGGAGCUAAUCCCUAAAAGCCGGUCUCAGUUCGGAUUGGGGUCUGCAACUCGACCCCAUGAAGUCGGAGUCGCUAGUAAUCGCAGAUCAGCAACGCUGCGGUGAAUACGUUCUCGGGCCUUGUACACACCGCCCGUCAAGUCACGAAAGUUGGUAACACCCGAAGCCGGUG